GAUGAACGCUAGCUACAGGCUUAACACAUGCAAGUCGAGGGGCAGCAUUUUAGUUUGCUUGCAAACUGAAGAUGGCGACCGGCGCACGGGUGAGUAACACGUAUCCAACCUGCCGAUAACUCCGGAAUAGCCUUUCGAAAGAAAGAUUAAUACCGGAUAGCAUACGAAUAUCGCAUGAUAUUUUAUAAAGAAUUUCGGUUAUCGAUGGGGAUGCGUUCCAUUAGUUGUUGGCGGGUAACGGCCCACCAAGACUACGAUGGAUAGGGGUUCUGAGAGGAAGGUCCCCCACAUUGGAACUGAGACACGGUCCAAACUCCUACGGGAGGCAGCAGUGAGGAAUAUUGGUCAAUGGGCGCGAGCCUGAACCAGCCAAGUAGCGUGAAGGAUGAAGGCUCUAUGGGUCGUAAACUUCUUUUAUAUGGAAUAAAGUUUCCACGUGUGGAAUUUGUAUGUACCAUAUGAAUAAGGAUCGGCUAACUCCGUGCC
rnacentral:rRNA from 1 species